rnacentral:rRNA from 1 species
AUUGAACGCUGGCGGCAGGCCUAACACAUGCAAGUCGAGCGAGCGGCGGACGGGUGAGUAAUGUCUGGGAAACUGCCUGAUGGAGGGGGAUAACUACUGGAAACGGUAGCUAAUACCGCAUACCAUCAGAUGUGCCCAGCUGGGAUUAGCUGGUAGGUGGGGUAACGGCUCACCUAGGCGACGAUCCCUAGCUGGUCUGAGAGGAUGACCAGCCACACGGGAACUGAGACACGGUGCAGACUCCCACGGGAGGAAGCAGUGGGGAAUAUUGCACAAUGGGCGAAAGCGUGAUGCAGCCAUGCCGCGUGUGUGAAGAGGGCCUUCGGGUUGUAAAGCACUUUCAGUGGGGAGGCGUUACCCGCAGAAGAAGCACCGGCUAACUCCGUGCCAGCAGCCGCGGUAAUAC